UUCAGUCAAUAUCUGUGCUAUAUUGGAGUAUUAAAAGAACUUAAAAUUCAAAGUAGGAGCUUGAUUUGGAACCAGAAAUAAACUGAUAACUUUUUCUUAAUUUAUCACCCCAAAAUAAAUGAAAAAGUAGAAUAAUUUAUUAAAUAACUAUCUUGAAAGCUUUAGCAUUUUUCUUCAAUAUGGUAUUUCUCAUUUAAGCACAAAUAUUUUAAAAUAUUAGUGUUACCAUGUGUGUAUUUGACAUGACUUUUUGGUACUCCCAAAGCUACUGAGAUCUUAUGAAACCUACUGAGAAGCCAGAAGAUAUGAGAGUAUUUGCAAUACAUUUCUAUUUUGAGAUUUUAUAACAAUCACUUCUACCCCUAACAGAGACGAACACGGCUGCUACUCUGAAACCUGACCUCAGGAGAAUGAACCUGUUCUGAAAUACAACCCAGCAACAGGAGAGCUGUGGACUCUUGAUUUAAAGGAGAGAGCCAUUUGAGCUACAACUCUGCUCCAGGAAGAGUGGCUGUUGACCCCUGAACUUGGGAAAAGACAUUUGUCAUAAUUAACCACAGCACCAGAAGUAGGGGUGGAAUUGAGGGACUAACAAUGAGGUUUUUGUACUCUGUGUUAAAAAAAAAUAGUUAAUGAGCCCCCACAAGCUGGGAUCGGGUGUAUCUUGUUCUCACUACCAGCGAGAGACUGCAAGCACCAAGAGGGAGUUGCAGGGUCAAAAGGGGACAUGAUCAAGGACACAUCGCUGUCAUAGGGAAGAGGAAAAGUUUUAUUAUAAUUACAUUUUAGAAAUGUAAUGUGCUUUUUAAAUUUUAAUUUCAAGGCAUGAAUUAAUCUUAUUCACGUUUCAUGUUGCAGUAAAAUGGAAACAGUUGGCUAAACUUUCUAAGGUACACGUAAUAAGUCUCCACACUUAAAGUAAGAAGUGCAUAUUCUUAGAUAUAUUUAAUAGCUUUAACUGGCAGCCAUUGCCUUUGUUUCUCACCCUACAGUUAUUUGUCAACAAGUAAUUUACAACUUUAGUAAAUGGUAUUAUUGUAUUA